rnacentral:rRNA from 1 species
GACGUAGGGCGCGAGCGUUGUCCGGAUUUAUUGGGCGUAAAGAGCUCGUAGGCGGCUUGUCGCGUCGACUGUGAAAACCCGCGGCUCAACCGCGGGCUUGCAGUCGAUACGGGCAGGCUAGAGUUUGGUAGGGGAGACUGGAAUUCCUGGUGUAGCGGUGAAAUGCGCAGAUAUCAGGAGGAACACCGGUGGCGAAGGCGGCAUCCUGGACCAACACUGACGCUGAGGAGCGAAAGCCAGGGGAGCAAACGGG